rnacentral:rRNA from 1 species
GGACUACAAGGGUUUCUAAUCCCGUUUGCUCCCCUAGCUUUCGCGCCUCAGCGUCAGUAUUGGGCCAGAUGAGCGCUUUCGCCACCGGUGUUCCUCCUGAUAUCUACGCAUUUCACCGCUACACCAGGAAUUCCCUCAUCCUCUCCCAUACUCAAGCCAAGCAGUUUGGGAUGCAGGUCCUCGGGUAAGCCGAGGCGUUUCACAUUCCACUUACUUGACCGCCUACACGCCCUUUACGCCCAGUAAUUCCGAACAACGCUUGCUCCCCCCGUGUUACCGCGGCUGCUGGCAC